CAGAGACAUUGCCCUUUGGGGUAGAUCUCCCACCCUUUACAUUACCUUUGUUGCUUUGGCAGGCCCGUCCUUGGACCACCGGCUUAGGCUGGUCUGUGCCUGCCAGAGGACCCUAAACUCUUGAUUUUUGUGUUCGAGUAAAUAUUAUAAGUUA
rnacentral:misc_RNA from 1 species